rnacentral:lncRNA from 1 species
GUUCAACUUAAAUAAAUAAAAUAACGAAUCGAGUCUCAACUCUCCCCAAAGACAAUUUCUCGACAGAUCUCUCGAUUUCUUAGUCUACACGCACUGGUCGUGGUAUGCAUUUCAAAUAUGAAUGUUAAAAUUGGGGUAUUUUGAAUAAUUAGUUUACUAAUGCCCUUUUUUAUAUAAGAUUCAAGGUAGAGUAAUUUUUCGAGAAUAAUAUUUGUUUUAUGUACUAUUUAAAAAUUUCUUCAGUUGUUCGUGCUAGGUUUUACUAGUAAUAGGGUGAAAAAAAUUGAGUAAUCGCAUUCAGAUUUGAAAUUUGCAGGCACAGAUCGAAUUUUUGAAGUUAGCGUGGUGUGGAGAUUGGUCGAUGCGGAUUAUUUUUUAAGGUAAGCGGGGAACUUAAAUCUUGUAUUUUGGAAUUUUAAUCUUUCGCAAUUGCUUUGAAUAUUCCUGAAAUGUAUCGUUGGGUGUAAAUUGUUUGGGAAUUAUAUAAUUUAAUAACGAUUUAAUCUGACUUUUCAUGUAUAAGCACUCAAAAUCGUCCCUUUUUAGUGGUAGUUACAAAUUAAAUCUGUCGUGCAAAUCGUGAUUAUGUAAUACUUUUGGCAUCAUAUUUCUGAUGUUUGCAUCUGAAUAUCUCUUGGAGAAAUAUUUUUGAGUUCUAUGUAUUUAAUACAAUUCGUGUUCAAGAUUUUAUGUUCGGUUGUUCCCGUUAGAUUGCAAUAAAUUUUGGCUGAAAGUUUCUGCAAUCUCAGUCCAGUGUAUUAGGUUAGAACCUUCUCUUCAAGGUUGAUGGCUUAAUUGCCUAUAAGAAACAGUUUCAAACGUGUCACUGAGAGUUCCCAAUAGUUGGACAUUAUUCCAAUAGAUAUAUAGCAUUGGCUCUUGGAGAUUUUGAGGUUUUUUGAUACUCCGAAGGGGAAGGAAAAAAUUGGGUGUCAGUUCCUAAUUAGCUGAGUUGGCUUAAAUCCGUGGAUUCCUCACAGCACGUAGUGCUAUAAUUUUAUUUAUGAUUAAUUAUAAUUAUUAUUACUGACUGUUCAGAAUACUGUUUUCAUUCCAAUGUGCUGUGAUUUGGAUAAAUGGUCACAAAAGAUUGCGUUUGGG